rnacentral:rRNA from 1 species
UACAGAGGUGGCAAGCGUUGUUCGGAAUUACUGGGCGUAAAGGGCGCGUAGGCGGGCUUUUAAGUCUUGUGUGAAAUCCCUCGGCUCAACUGAGGAACUGCACGGGAUACUGGAAGACUUGAGUUCGGGAGAGGGAAGCGGAAUUCCGGGUGUAGCGGUGAAAUGCGUAGAUAUCCGGAGGAACACCGGUGGCGAAGGCGGCUUCCUGGACCGAUUACUGACGCUGAGGCGCGAAAGCUAGGGGAGCAAACGGG